rnacentral:rRNA from 1 species
UCGAGAAUUUUUCACAAUGGGGGAAACCCUGAUGGAGCGACGCCGCGUGGAGGACGAAGGUCUUCGGAUUGUAAACUCCUGUCAUGCGAGAACAAGAAAGUGAUAGUAUCGCAAGAGGAAGAGACGGCUAACUCUGUG